rnacentral:lncRNA from 1 species
AUGAUGUUUUAUGCAUGUAUCAGAGGGUGGGGUUGAUUAUCCCCAGAACAAACAGGCCUGCCUGAAUCUGCCACAAGAGAACCCGAAAGAAAAAAAGGCAAAAGCAAAGAAGAAAGCUGGCAGAGAUCCUGUGCCCAUCAAGGCCUGCUGCCGCCCCUCACAUUCAGACCACGACGUUUUGAUUAUGAGGGCGAGGGCGGAGUCUGCCUUGGCCCUGAGAUGUGCUAAAUGCUGGGGGGGGCCCUUUUGCUGAAGGGACGCUAACGGCGGACCCCCACCAACAUCUUCGACCUCNUCCAGUAAAGUCAAGAAGGGUGCUUCCGUCUCCUUCCACGGCACUUUCAGCGUUCCUCUGAGCCAUCCAGUCUGCUCCCUUUGCCUACGUCUGCUGUGCUCUUCUCUGAGAUCAGAGAAGUUCAGCCAAUGGAGUCCAACGCCGCUUCUGCCGCCUUCUCUGUGACAUCAGGCCGCUGCACCAAUCCCUGCAGGAGGUUUCCUCCCACCAGCACAGUCACCAGGCACCCUGCAGAUGGUCCCUGGCUCCGCCAAGGCAGCCUCAUUAGUCACAGACUUCAGUGUCACUUACCAAGGGGAAUUCUUCUUGCUUAGCUGGAGGUGCUGCAUCAUAUUACCAUAUCAUCAGCAUCCGGAUGGCUUCCCUGAAUUGCUCAAGUUUCCAGGUUCAUGAUUUAUGAGGUUUUCAGGUAAACACUGAAGCGGUGAUUCUCAUUUUUCAUUUUCGCAUUCAGGUGCCUUAGCUUGAAACUCAUUCCUUCUUCCUUCGCUCUCUCUCUCUCUCUCUUCCCUGCCUCCUUUCCUUCCUUUAUGCUGGAGCUUCCAGGCACCAGUGCUGGUCCACAGAUGUUCUGUUGCAUGGGAGCAUCAACAGGCAAACUCAGAGUGUGGUUGUGUUAGGAAAGCUUCGGUCUUCACAAACACAAGCGUUCCGCCCAGUGCGUCGUGUUCUUAAUGGAGUCAAAAGUGUGCCUCCCACAGUUACCACAUGGCUGUCCGCCAUUAACACUGGAAGAAGGAGAGUCAGCUGUGGUUAUUAUUUUAAUUUAAACUGCAAUUACUUUAAUUGGAUAUAUAGGGUGCAAUCAGACAUGGCUUUUUAAAAUCGUCUUUUUAAGAAUAAAAAUGCCUUCCCCAAAUGCCUUCCA